UUACAUUUUGGUGCCAAAACCCGGGAGAGGCUCAGGUCUGCAUCCCCCGUGGACCUACCCCUCCACCCCGGAGAGCAGGCCACAGCAGCCGGACAAAGGAAGCUCCUCAGCCUCCAGUCAGCUCUCUGUGCGUGCACACCGGUCACUGAUCUCGCCUACUGGACUCAAGACGCAGUCAACUAUGAAAAACUUUCAGAAAUCACCUAAGGUCCUGACGAAAACCCAGCCCUUUUUCUCUCUCGUUUAACUGAAGCCAGGAGAAAGUAUACCAACCUAGAUCCAGCCAACCUAGAAGGAACCACUAUUUUAAACCUUCACUUCAUCUCCCAAUCCACCCUGAUAUUCAGUGCAAGCUUCAGAAGCUUGAUGACGGCCCUCAAACCCCACAAGACCUUCUUAAUUUAGCCUUCAAAGUCUUUAACAAUCAUAAUGAGGAAAGUAAAAGGCAAAAAACAGGCACAGUUUCAAAUGCUUGCCUCCGCCAUCAGGGGCCCUGCAGGCCCACGGGGCUGCAGCUCCACAUGGAGGCCUCCUAGCAAUCCACCUCCACCUCGUGCCUAUUUCAAGUGUGGCAAUGAAAGCCACCGGUCCAGACAAUGCCCAAACCCAGGUAAGCCCACCAGGCCAUGCCCCCUCUGCAGAGGACCCCACUGGAAGUUGGACUGUGAGCAGCCCCCGCAAGGACUGCCCCCAUCCCUUCCUGAGCCGACCAAAACCUCCUACUGGGAUCUCAUCGGCCUUGCUGCUGAAGACUGACGGUGCCCUGGAAUGGACGCCCUGGCAACUACCAUCGCUUCAUCUGAGCCAAGGGUAACCCUGAUGGUGGCAGGUAGGACAGUAUGUUUUUUUUUUUAUUAAUACCGGGCAACCUACCCUACUUUACCUAAAUUUUCAGGACCCACCCAGCCCUCCCAAGUCUCUGUUGUAGGAAUUGAUGAAGAAGUCUCCAAACCCCGAGCCCCCCUCCACUGUUCCGCUCCCUGAACACCUUUUCCUUCACUCACUCUUUCUUAGUCCUGCCCUCUUGCCCAACUCCACUCCUAGGCAGAGACAUCCUUUCAAAACUCCACACUACUCUCCACCUCCACGUUCUCCAUGGUACCCAACGCAUCAACCCAGACCCCUCCGGAGCUUCUAACUUUCUUCUACUCCUCCAACCUCCCAUAUUAAAACAUGCAACUUUUCCUUAUCCCCCAACCGUAGUUAACCCUGCUGUUUAGGAUACUUCCACACCCUCAGUCGCAGAACACCACAGCCCCGUCCACGUUACCCUUAAGGAGCCCAGUUCCUAUCACAGAAGCAGUAUCCCAUCCCCCUAACAGCUCUCAUAGGCCUAAAGCCUAUCAUUUCUCACCUCCUUGCCUGUCACCUACUCCGCCCAACAGACCCCCCUUUUAACACACCAGUUCUACCUGUUAAAAAGCCAGAUGGAACUUAAUCACGCAGUCCAGGACCUCAGGCUCAUUAACCAAGCUGUACUCCCAGUAUGUCCAGCAGUUCCUAACCCAUACACUUUACUUUCCUCAGUUCCCUCCAAUACCACCCAUUUUUCUCUUCUAAACCUAAAGGUUGCUUUUUUUCACAAUUCCUUUACACCCUGAUUCCCAAAACCUCUUUGCCUUUAUGUGGGAAAACCCCGACACCCACCUUUCACGUCAGCUCACCUGGUGCGUGCUACCUCAAGGUUUCAGAGACAGCCCCCACCUUUUUAGACUGGCCCUUGCUCGCAAUCUCUGUACCUUAUCCCUAAAACGGGCCACUGUCCUUCAAUAUGCUAAUGAUCUGCUCCUGGGUAGCCCCUCUCAAAAAAAAACUGCAACACCCAUACUAUCUCUCUUUUAAACUUCCUGGCAGAACGAAGGUAUCAAGUCUCCCCUAAGAAAGCACAGAUAUGCACCCCUUCAGUCACCUACCUAAGUUUAGCCCUUGCCCCAGAAACCCGAAGGCUCACAACCAAUGGCAUAUCCCUCCUCCGGUCCCUCCCACCUCCACAAACUAAGCAAGAAAUUCUCUCUUUUCUAGGACUAGCAGGAUAUUUUAGCCUCGAGGUUCCCUCCUUCACUCUACUUGACAAACGGUUAUACCAAGCCGCUAAAGGCCCCCUCCGUGAGCCUUUAAACCCUGCACAGCCUAUUACCCAACCUUUCUGUCUACUCCAGAAGGCUCUCACCUCAGCCCCCGUCCUCACUUGCCCAGACACAGACCUCACCAAACCUUUUUCCCUCUACACCGAUGAAUGGCAUGGAGUUGCACUGGGUGUUCUAACCCAGCCUAAAGGACCCACCCUCCAGGUUGUUGCCAUCUCUCUAAACAGCUUGAAGCCACAGUUCUUGGAUGGCCUGCCUGUCUCCAAGCAUUGGUGGCAGCUGCUGUCCUCACCCUUAAAAGCCUAAAACUAUCUCUCCAUGCCAACCUAACAGUUUGUUCAACCCAAAACAUCAAAGAUAUUCUAGCUCAGUGUACUAAGUCUCAUCUCUGCCCCACAGCUCCUCCAACUAUAUGCUCUAUUCAUAGAAACUCCCCACAUCACCGUACUAACCAGCUCCCAUCUAAACCCAGCCACGCUCUGUCCCUGUCCUUGUUCUCUCCUCUUUACUCCUCAAAAGAAAAGGAGGACUUCCAGGCCCAAAACCUUCAAAAGCAAGGACCAUGGUAUGUCAAGGAAGGGCGCUUCAUUCUUCCUCACUCUCAAAUAAUCCCUAUCCUCCAAGGUCUCCACAACCCUUUCCAUGUCAGUUACAAACUUCUCUUACAACUUCUCCACCCUAUUCUCUCUUGUCCUCACCUUUCCAGCCAUGUUAAAAAAAAUCAUCCAGUCCUGCUCUAUCUGCCACUCAGUGUCACCCCAGGGCUCCCUCUGGCCACUGCCUUUUCCUACCCACCAAGCCCAGGGCCAGGUACUCGGGCAAGAUUGGCAAGUAGACUUCACUCACAUCGCCACCCGAUAAAUGGCUCCGCUAUCUCCUAGUCUUUGUCUGUACUUUCUCUGGGUAAGUAGAAGUGUUCCCAACAAGUUCAGAAGGUACAAAUGUCAUCACACAAACUCUCAUCAUGCAUAUAAUUCCCCAUUUUGGAUUCCCAACAUCCAUCCAGUUCGACAAUGGGCCCACUUUAAAGCCAAGUUACUCAAGGCAUUUCUACAUCCUUAGGAAUAAAAUGGGUUCUCCACACACCUUACAGGCCUCAAUCUUCAGGCAAAGUUUAAAAAGUCAACUCUGUCCUUAAAGCUCAACUCAGCAAGCUAGCUCUUGAAACCCAUCAGUCAUGGACAAGAAAUCUCCCUUUCACCCUCAUGAGACUCCACACAACACCAAAAGCACCCUCUUUUUAUAGUCCCUUCAAAAUCAUGUAUGGCUGAAAUUUUGUCUUAAGGCCUCCAUCCUUACCAGACUUGGAGCCACUCAAGAAUUACCUCCCUUCCUUAAUCCAGACACGGUCUUUCAUUCGUAAAGCAGCAAAUAAGGCCAUGCCUCUCCCUGUCAACAAUUCCUUGUCCUCUCAACAUAACUGUCUUGCAGGCACAGAUGUGUCUCCAGACAAUGCAGACAGUGCUCCUGCUACAAUGACACAGUAGAUACCAACCCAUCUUUCAAGAAUACCCCCGAAAAUUAAAGUUUUCUUUUCUCAGGGUGCUCUCACCACCCACUGUGUCGCGCCUGAAGUAGUUAUUGAGAAAGUAAUCCCUUUUCCCUUUUUUCUAUAACCAAAUAGACAGGAAUAUGAGAUUCUCCCUGAGGCCCGAAAGCUUGAAGGGAUGAGUAACUCCUCCCUUCUCAGGCCCAGUCCCAAGGCGCAAGGCUGCUUGCUUCAGCAGCGUGUGCCAGCAAGAUAGGAGAAGCAGGAAGAGAGCUGGCUGGAAGACACGUACCCUGAAGAUCGAGAAAGAGGCCAUCCGGGUACUACGUAGCGGUCACAUCAAACUGGGACACUUCCUGUUUAUAGGAGACCAUAAAACCCCUGCCUCUUCCUCAGUUUGGUGCUGACACCAUUUUAGGCCUCAGCCCGCCUGCACCCAGGCGCUCAUUAAAACAGCAUGUUGCUCCACACCACUUCAAGUUGUCUGUUGGCACGUUCUCAGGGUUUGAACUGAUACAAGAACCUUACAUAAAAAAUGGCUAUGAAAUAAAAGAUAAAUAGUAAGAUAAAGUCCCAGAAAAGGACACGUUAAAAACCUUUCUCCUGUUGCACACUUUGAGAGGAGGGAUGUCUACACAAAUCAGGACAAAUGUAGAACCUUAAGAUGAGUUAGCCUUUUUCUGAGGAUGAUGUGUUCCUGGGACUCCCUAAUCACUUUAAAGAACUAGAAAAUACACUGGGCAUGGUGGCAUGUGCCUGGAAUCCCAGGUACUUGGGAGGCUGAGGCAGGAGUAUCGCUUGAGCCCAGGAGUUUGAGACCAGCCGGGGCUACAUACUGAGACCCUGUCUCUUUAAAAAAAAAUAGCAAUUGGUAAAUAAAAUCUGUUAAUCUGGUGUUACUUGUAGUAUUUUUAUCAAAGGAGGUACCCCAGAGAAUGUAACUCACAUGAAGUAUCAUCACUACAAUCUAGUCUGACCCAGAAUACAAUUUCAGACACCAUUACUAAGCUAUUAUCUCCCCCAAACAGAGAGACAAUGAAAAUCUAGGCUGAUCAAACUAUAGCUAUCGCCAUGUUUAAUUGUCUGAUUCAUCGUUUACCUUGGACUUCAGAUCUAUACUGUUGUACUAAUAGGUAAACUUCAAUUUAAUUUAAGAAAAAUGUGUUUACCCACUCUGUUCCUAGAACUAUAUUUGAUUCAUGGGGGGAGUACAUAGGUAAGUGUAAGACUCAAUGCUUGUGUUCAUAGGUAAGUGUAAGACUCAAUUCUUGUGUUCAUUGCCAUACAAUUAGUUAUAUGUCAAGUAAGGGUAAAAGUUUAUUUUCAAUUCAAGAGAUUAUGCCCAGUAAGAGCCCCCCACCAAGAUAAGAAAGAUGCAUUAGAAUACAUCUAUAUUGUCUUGUUCUCACUGGCCAUGAAUCAUUCAUUAUGUAAGAUCUUUGUGUAUCUGAAACCUAUUUUCAGUCUUUCUCCCAUUAAACAUUGCAGCUUCUACUUCUAGUAUCACAGAGUCCUGCAAGAUUCUGGGAAGACAUUCAGAACCUCUUCUGCUGUGAGAGGACACACGAAAGAAAUGAGCUCACCUUUCACUCAGUAGAGAACUCUUUGGUAGCUAGAACCUUGGUCAGAUCUUUUUCCCCAAACACAGCACACAAGCAGCCCUAUGGAUUUGGGGGAUUUGCUUGUCUUUUUCACUUGAGUUCAGAGAAUUAUGGAACAAAUGAAUUUUAAGAGAAUUUAGAGAUCUAUACUAACAGCCUCAUUUUAAAAUCUUUUUAUUCCCUCUUUUGUUUUACACACGAGGUAAAGUAAAUUGGUGAAAGUAAAUUUCUUUUUUUUUGAGACAGAGUCUCACCCUAUUGCCCAGGCUGAAGUGCAGUGGUGCGAUUUUGGCUCAAUGCAAACUCUGCCUCCCAGGUUCAAGAGAUUCUCCAGUCUCAGCCUCCUGAGUAGCUGGGAUUACAGGUGCCCACCACCAUGUCUGGCUAAUUUUUGUAAUUUUAGUACAGACGGGGUUUCACCAUGUUGGCCAGGCUGGUCUCGAACUCCUAACCUCAGGUGAUCCAAAGUGCUGGGAUUACAGGCAUAAGCCACCAUGCCUAUGAAAGUAAAUUUCAACACUGGCUGAACAUCUAGAUUACUAGGAGAGAUCUGAACAUCAUGAUUAGCAGGUCUACCCCACACUAACUAUCUCAG
rnacentral:lncRNA from 10 species